rnacentral:misc_RNA from 1 species
GAUGAAGAACGUAGCGAAUUGUGAUAAGUAAUGUGAAUUGCAGAAUUCAGUGAAUCAUCGAAUCUUUGAACGCAGCUUGCGCUCUCUGGUAUUCCGGAGAGCAUGCCUGUUUCAGUGUCAUGAAAUCUCAACCACUAGGGUUUCCUAAUGGAUUGGAUUUGGGCGUCUGCGAUUUCUGAUCGCUCGCCUUAAAAGAGUUAGCAAGUUUGACAUUAAUGUCUGGUGUAAUAAGUUUCACUGGGUCCAUUGUGUUGAAGCGUGCUUCUAAUCGUCCGCAAGGACAAUUACUUUGACUCUGGCCUGAAAUCAGGUAGGACUACCCGCUGAACUUAAGCAUAUCAAUAAGCGGAGGA